rnacentral:sRNA from 1 species
CCUUUCCCUGGAGGGGCUUUGCGCGUGGCGAGUCUGUGUCCUCCCUGUCCCUCCGAGCAGAGAGCCUCCCCGUAUCUGGACCGGGGAGGAGCAGACGCUGGACAGGUUUCUGGGAGAAUGCUGGCAAUUCCCAGGAAGAUACGUGGAGAACGGAAAGGUUGCUACACCCAAAUAGUGGAGCAAAGCUAUGAUUAUGGAGGAUUGGACCUGCAAACUCCAGAACAGAGUUCUGCCCUCUGAGGACCCUGCCCUUUCCCAAAAGGGAUAUCUUGAGAAGGAAAGUAUGGCUGCUCUUUGCUGGACAGCAGAGUCCCAGAACCCCAUGCAGGUGUUUUAGGGCUUUACGUCAUUCAAGGAUGUGGCUGUGAACUUCACUGGGAAGAAUGGAGAGAACUGGACCCUGCUCAGAGAGUCUUGUACAGAGAUGUAAUGCUGUAGAACUAUAGGAACCUGGUCUUCUUGGGAUUUCCAUUUUCCAAACCUGCUAUCAUCUCCCAGUGGGAAGAAGUGGUAAGCCCAUGAAUGCAAAUGCAGGAGGGAGAGGUGCCAAGAAGCAGCUGUACAUGCUGAACUC